rnacentral:rRNA from 1 species
UACGUAGGUGGCAAGCGUUGUCCGGAUUUACUGGGCGUAAAGGGCGUGCAGGCGGUCUGUUAAGUGCAGGGUGAAAGCUCCCGGCUCAACUGGGAGAGGUCCUUGCAUACUGGCGGACUUGAGGGGGGUAGAGGAAAGUGGAAUUCCCGGUGUAGUGGUGAUAUGCGCAGAUAUCGGGAGGAACACCUAUGGCGAAGGCAGCUCGCUGGGACGGUACUGACGCUGAGACGCGAAAGCGUGGGGAGCAAACAGG